CAAUAGCGUAUAUUUAAGUUGUUGCAGUUAAAAAGCUCGUAGUUGGAUUUCGGAUGGGACUUGCCGGUCCGUCGUUUCGUUGUGCACUGGCCAGUCCUAUCUUGUUGUCGGGGACUAGCUCCUGGGCUUCACUGUCCGGGACUAGGAGCUGACGAGGUUACUUUGAGUAAAUUAGAGUGUUCAAAGCAAGCCUACGCUCUGAAUACAUUAGCAUGGAAUAACACGAUAGGACUCUGGCUUAUCUUGUUGGUCUGUGAGACCAGAGUAAUGAUUAAGAGGGACAGUCGGGGGCAUUCGUAUUUCAUUGUCAGAGGUGAAAUUCUUGGAUUUAUGAAAGACGAACUUCUGCGAAAGCAUUUGUCAAGGAUGUUUUCAUUAA
rnacentral:rRNA from 1 species